AAGCACACACAAUCAUAAUCGUCUGGACCAUUCCACCUCCUGACCUUUUCUUUAGCUACCAUCAUGCCAAAUCUCCUCCCUCAUACCUCACCUUCAUACUUCACCUGAGCUCCACCACCUGGGAAAUAACUGAAACCUCUGGACUUCCAUGGUGGUAGUGAACAUAGGCGUCUGAACUUUUACUUACAAAGCCUAUUGUUGCUGGCAGCAAUAUUUCAAAAUGGGUGGAGGAAACCAAUACUAAGGGGCGGAGUUUCUUUAAAUAUGACUAACUUGACUCAACUGGCUGCCACACUUCUCAGUUCUGUUCUAGUCCUCACACUUGGAAAACCUUGCCAAAAUGCUGAAACAUAUUUUGAGUAUUUCAACCUUAAUAACUCUGAUUUGGAUGAAAUCAAUAAAAAGACAAGACUAAGAUCACAAGAAUCCCCAACAGAAGAAAUGCCAAGAGGACUAGAAUCUUACCAGACGGUGGUAUUAAUAAUGGAGCAGCCUAGAACUGAUGACAAAGACACCAAGUCUGAAAUGACACAGAGAAUAUAAAUAUUGUGAGAUGGCUCCCUUACCCUCCCAAAUUCCAUCUGUUUUGCCAAAUAUUUUCAUUUCCUUUGCAUUAUUCAUGGUAAAGUAUGGAAAACAGAAUCACACAUCACAUCCAAAAAUGCUCUGCUGGUGACAUUGUAAGAUUCACUCCUUUUGUCAUAAAUCUCUUCAAAUAAUAAAUUGGUGAUUAUUGAAAAAU